GAUGAACGCUGGCGGCGUGCCUAAUACAUGCAAGUCGAGCGAACAGACGAGGAGCUUGCUCCUUUGACGUUAGCGGCGGACGGGUGAGUAACACGUAGGUAACCUACCUAUAAGACUGGGAUAACUUCGGGAAACCGGAGCUAAUACCGGAUAAUAUUUCGAACCGCAUGGUUCGAUAGUGAAAGAUGGCUUUGCUGUCACUUAUAGAUGGACCUGCGCCGUAUUAGCUAGUUGGUAAGGUAACGGCUUACCAAGGCAACGAUACGUAGCCGACCUGAGAGGGUGAUCGGCCACACUGGAACUGAGACACGGUCCAGACUCCUACGGGAGGCAGCAGUAGGGAAUCUUCCGCAAUGGGCGAAAGCCUGACGGAGCAACGCCGCGUGAGUGAUGAAGGUCUUCGGAUCGUAAAACUCUGUUAUUAGGGAAGAACAAACGUGUAAGUAACUGUGCACGUCUUGACGGUACCUAAUCAGAAAGCCACGGCUAACUACGUG
rnacentral:rRNA from 1 species